rnacentral:rRNA from 1 species
CCUACGGGUGGCAGCAGUGAGGAAUAUUGGUCAAUGGCCGUAAGGCUGAACCAGCCAAGUCGCGUGAAGGAAGAAGGACCUAUGGUUUGUAAACUUCUUUUAUAGGGGAAUAAAGUUAUCCACGUGUGGUUUUUUGCAUGUACCCUAUGAAUAAGCAUCGGCUAACUCCGUGCCAGCAGCCGCGGUAAUACGGAGGAUGCGAGCGUUAUCCGGAUUUAUUGGGUUUAAAGGGAGCGUAGGUUGUUUUUUAAGUCAGCGGUGAAAGUUUGUGGCUCAACCAUAAAAUUGCCGUUGAAACUGGCAGUCUUGAGUACGUUUGAGGUAGGCGGAAUGCGUGGUGUAGCGGUGAAAUGCAUAGAGAUCACGCAGAACUCCGAUUGCGAAGGCAGCUUACUAAGCUAUAACUGACACUGAAGCACGAAAGCGUGGGGAUCAAACAGGAUUAGAUACCCCAGUAGUC